GUUAUAUGGUCAAGUGAGUAAGCGCACACGGUGGAUGCCUUGGCGACAGAAGGCGAUGAAGGACGUGGUAGUCUGCGAUAAGCCUCGGGGAGCUGACAAACAAGCUUUGAUCCGGGGAUUUCCGAAUGGGGAAACCCACCGCUUCGGCGGUAUCUGCACCUGAAUACAUAGGGUGUAGAGGCGAACUCGGGGAACUGAAACAUCUAAGUACCCGAAGGAAAAGAAAUCAACCGAGAUUCCCUUAGUAGCGGCGAGCGAACGGGGAACAGCCCUUAAGCAACUUAUGUUUUAGCGGAACAUUCUGGAAAGUUUGGCCAUAGUGGGUGAUAGCCCCGUACGCGAAAAGGCAUUUGUUGUGAAAUCGAGUAGGGCGGGACACGUGUUAUCCUGUCUGAAUGUGGGGGGACCAUCCUCCAAGGCUAAAUACUCUCUGUCGACCGAUAGUGAACCAGUACCGUGA
rnacentral:rRNA from 1 species